UCCUACGGGAGGCAGCAGUAGGGAAUCUUCCGCAAUGGACGAAAGUCUGACGGAGCAACGCCGCGUGAGUGAUGAAGGCUUUCGGGUCGUAAAACUCUGUUGUUAGGGAAGAACAAGUGCUAGUUGAAUAAGCUGGCACCUUGACGGUACCUAACCAGAAAGCCACGGCUAACUACGUGCCAGCAGCCGCGGUAAUACGUAGGUGGCAAGCGUUAUCGGGAAUUAUUGGGCGUAAAGCGCGCGCAGGUGGUUUCUUAAGUCUGAUGUGAAAGCCCACGGCUCAACCGUGGAGGGUCAUUGGAAACUGGGAGACUUGAGUGCAGAAGAGGAAAGUGGAAUUCCAUGUGUAGCGGUGAAAUGCGUAGAGAUAUGGAGGAACACCAGUGGCGAAGGCGACUUUCUGGUCUGUAACUGACACUGAGGCGCGAAAGCGUGGGGAGCAAACAGGAUUAGAUACCCUGGUAGUCCACGCCGUAAACGAUGAGUGCUAAGUGUUAGAGGGUUUCCGCCCUUUAGUGCUGAAGUUAACGCAUUAAGCACUCCGCCUGGGGAGUACGGCCGCAAGGCUGAAACUCAAAGGAAUUGACGGA
rnacentral:rRNA from 1 species